rnacentral:rRNA from 1 species
AGGACUAACGCUGGCGGCGUGCCUAACACAUGCAAGUCGAACGGACGUAGCAAUACGUUAGUGGCAGACGGGUGAGUAACACGUAGAUAACGUACCCCUCCGCUGGGGAUAGCCACUGGAAACGGUGGGUAAAACCGAAUACUCUUCAAUUAGGACAUCCUAGUUGAAGGAAAACUUUGGUGUGGAGGGAUCGGUUUGCGACCUAUCAGCUAGUUGGUGAGGUAAUGGCUCACCAAGGCGACGACGGGUAACCGGUCUGAGAGGACGGUCGGUCACACUGGCACUGAGAUACGGGCCAGACUCCUACGGGAGGCAGCAGUGAGGGAUUUUGCACAAUGGAGGAAACUCUGAUGCAGCGACGCCGCGUGCGGGACGAAGCCUUUCGGGGUGUAAACCGCUGUCAGUGGGGAAGAGUAGGGACGGUACCCACUGAGGAGCAUCGGCUAACUACGCGCCAGCAGCCGC